rnacentral:rRNA from 1 species
CCUACGGGUGGCAGCAGUGAGGAAUAUUGGUCAAUGGACGAGAGUCUGAACCAGCCAAGUAGCGUGAAGGAUGACUGCCCUAUGGGUUGUAAACUUCUUUUAUAGGGGAAUAAAAUGUUCCACGUGUGGGAUGUUGUAUGUACCAUAUGAAUAAGGAUCGGCUAACUCCGUGCCAGCAGCCGCGGUAAUACGGAGGAUCCGAGCGUUAUCCGGCUUGAUUGGGGUUAAAGGGAGCGUAGGGGGAUUGUUAAGUCAGUUGUGAAAGUUUGCGGCUAAACCGUAAAAUGGCAGUUGAAACUGGCAGUCUUUAGUACAGUAGAGGUGGGCGGCAUUCGUGGUGUAGCGG